UGUGUGUGUGUGUGUGUGUGUGGUUUUAUACUUGGAAUUCUUAGCCUUCGCCUUAGUCUUCCCCGGCGACCCACUCGGAGCGAUGGUUUUUGCUGAUGCUAGCGAUGGUCAGGAAAACGACCUGACCAUCGCUCUGAGUGGGUCACCAGGGAAGACCAAGGCGAAGGCUAAGAAUUCCACAUAGUAAAGCAACACACAGAAA